rnacentral:rRNA from 1 species
UUUCUAGAUUUAUAAUAGAAUUUUAUUUUUUAGUCAAAAAGCUAAAAUAUAUUUAAAAGACGAGAAGACCCUAUAAAUCUUUAUAUUUAGAUUAUUAUAAUUUUAUAGAUUUUUUUUGUUAUAAUAAUCAAUGAUAUUUUAUUGGGGUGAUAUUAAAAUUUAAUAAACUUUUAAUUGUUAAAAUCAUUAAUUUAUGAAUAAUUGAUCCGUUAUUAGCGAUUAAAAAAAUAAGUUACCUUAGGGAUAACAG